CAAGCCCCAGGGAAAGAGCUCCUGUUUAGCCGCCAAGCCCUUCCCCACAGGUGACUGGUGGUUUGAACUGAGGGCAGGGACCAGCUGUCCCCUCCCAUGUCCACACUAGCUGGGGCACACCGUCCUCUGCGUUUUCCUGCCUUGGCUCAACACAUAGGCCUCUCCAAAUCCUCCCAACCCGAACAAUGGAAGGGAAGAAGGAAAGGAGGGGCUGAGGAAGGAAACAGACACUGACCAAAGCCCAGAGGUUGGAAACCAUGGCUCUUAAAAGCAGAGAUGAAGAGAAAAGAGUGAGUUCAAAAGACAGAGCAUGAGAAAGACCCCACCCGCUAUUACUGGCUUUGAAGAUGGAGAGAAGAGGCCACAAGCCAAGGAAUGGCAGCAGCUUCCAGAAGCAUGAAAGAGCCCUUAGGUUACAGCCAGCAAGGGAAGGAAACGGCGACCCUACAGCCACAAGACUUGACUUCUGCCAACAGCCAGAAGGAGCAGGAAACACGUUCUCCCUGAGAGCCUCCAGAAAGGAACACAGUCUGCCGACACCUUAAUUUUAGCCUGGGGAGGCCCAUACCAGGUCUCUGCUUU
rnacentral:lncRNA from 1 species